rnacentral:rRNA from 1 species
CCUACGGGUGGCAGCAGUGGGGAAUAUUGGGCAAUGGGCGCAAGCCUGACCCAGCCACGCCGCGUGAAGGAAGACGGCUUUCGGGUUGUAAACUUCUUUUCUGAGGGACGAAGAAAGUGACGGUACCUCCGGAAUAAGCCACGGCUAACUACGUGCCAGCAGCCGCGGUAAUACGUAGGUGGCAAGCGUUCUACGGAUUUAUUGGGUGUAAAGGGCGUGUAGGCGGGAAAACAAGUCAGAUGGGAAAACUCAGGGCUCAACCCUGAGCCUGCAUUUGAAACUGGUUUUCUUGAGUGCUGGAGAGGCAAUCGGAAUUCCGUGUGUAGCGGUGAAAUGCGUAGAUAUACGGAGGAACACCAGUGGCGAAGGCGGAUUGCUGGACAGUAACUGACGCUGAGGCGCGAAAGCGUGGGGAGCAAACAGGAUUAGAUACCCCUGUAGUC